GGGCACCACCAGGGGGUGCAGCUGCGGCUUAUUUGACUCAUCACGGGAAAUCUCACCAGGCCCGGACACCGGAAGGAUUGACAGAUUAACAGCUCUUUCUUGAUUCGGUGGGUGGUGGUGCAUGGCCGUUCUUAGUUGGUGGAGCGAUUUGUCUGGUUAAUUCCGGUAACGAACGAGACUCUAGCCUGCUAAAUAGGCGUCGCCAUUUAGGUGUGCUCGGCUUCGGUCGGGCAACUCACUGGCGACGUAUUAAAAUUCUUCUUAGAGGGACCGGCGGCUUCGAGCCGCACGAGAUUGAGCAAUAACAGGUCUGUGAUGCCCUUAGAUGUCCUGGGCCGCACGCGCGCUACAUCGAAGGAAUCA
rnacentral:rRNA from 1 species